UAACACGUGGGUAACCUGCCCAUCAGAGGGGGAUAACAUUCGGAAACGGAUGCUAAAACCGCAUAGGUCUUCGAACCGCAUGGUUUGAAGAGGAAAAGAGGCGCAAGCUUCCGCUGAUGGAUGGACCCGCGGUGCAUUAGCUAGUUGGUGAGGUAACGGCUCACCAAGGCCGUGAUGCAUAGCCGACCUGAGAGGGUGAUCGGCCACAUUGGGACUGAGACACGGCCCAA
rnacentral:rRNA from 1 species